rnacentral:rRNA from 1 species
CAGCAGCCGCGGUAAUACAGAGGAUGCAAGCGUUAUCCGGAAUGAUUGGGCGUAAAGGGAGCGCAGGCGGACAUAUAAGUCCAUCUUAAAAGUGCGGGGCUCAACCCCGUGAGGGGAUGGAAACUGUAUGCCUUGAGUGCAGGAGAGGAAAGCGGAAUUCCCAGUGUAGCGGUGAAAUGCGUAGAUAUUGGGAGGAACACCAGUGGCGAGGGCGACUUUCUGGACGAAAACUGACGCUGAGGCGCGAAAGCCAGGGGAGCGAACGGGAUUAGAUACCCCAGUAGUCCCUGUCUCUUAUACA